GAUGAAGAACGUAGCGAAAUGCGAUAAGUAAUGUGAAUUGCAGAAUUCAGUGAAUCAUCGAAUCUUUGAACGCACAUUGCGCCCGCCAGUAUUCUGGCGGGCAUGCCUGUUCGAGCGUCAUUUCAACCCUCAGGCCCCGCCUGGCGUUGGGGAUCGGCGCGGCCCUCUCCGGGCUGCCGGCCCCGAAAACUAGUGGCGGUCUCGCUGUAGUCCUCCUCUGCGCAGUAGCAACGCUCGCACUGGAACUCGGCGCGGCCACGCCGUAAAACACCCCACUUCUGAAAGUUGACCUCGGAUCAGGUAGGAAUACCCGCUGAACUUAAGCAUAUCAAUAAGCGGAGG
rnacentral:misc_RNA from 1 species